CAGGAGGUGGGACAUAUAGGUUUCCAAUACCAGACGCAGGUCCAGUAGGUGGGGGAUAUAGGCUUCCAACCCCAGAAGCAGGUCCAGAAGGAGGAUUCGGGCUUCCAACCCGAGACACUGGUCCAGGAGGUGGGAUGUUCGGGCUUCCAACCAUAGACGCAGGUCCAGGAGGUGGGGGAUAUAGGCUUCCAACCCCAGAAGCAGGUCCAGGAGGAGCAUUCAGGCUUCCAACCCCAGACACUGGUCCAGGAGAUGGGACGUUCGGGCUUCCAACCGUAGACGUAGGUCCAGGAGGUGGGGGAUAUAGACUUCCAACCCCAGAAGCAGGUUCAGGAGGAGGGGGAUAUAGGUUUCCAACCCCAGACACUGGUCCAAGAGGUGGGGGAUAUAGGCUUCCAACCCCAGAAGCAGGUCCACGAGGAGGGGGAUAUAGGUUUCCAACCCCAGACACUGGUCUAGGAGGUGGGACAUUUGGGCUUCCAACCCUAGACGCAGGUCCAGGAGGUGGGACAUUUGGGCUUCCAACCCUAGACGCAGGUCCAGGAGGUGGGACAUUUGGGCUUCCAACCCUAGACGCAGGUCCAGGAGGUGGGACAUUUGGGCUUCCAACCCUAGACGCAGGUCCAGGAGGUGGGGCAUUUGGGCUUCCAACCCCAGAUGCAGGUGUAGAAGGUGGGGG
rnacentral:lncRNA from 1 species